ACAUGCAGUCGAGCGGGGGAAGGUAGCUUGCUACCGGACCUAGCGGCGGACGGGUGAGUAAUGCUUAGGAAUCUGCCUAUUAGUGGGGGACAACAUCUCGAAAGGGAUGCUAAUACCGCAUACGUCCUACGGGAGAAAGCAGGGGAUCUUCGGACCUUGCGCUAAUAGAUGAGCCUAAGUCGGAUUAGCUAGUUGGUGGGGUAAAGGCCUACCAAGGCGACGAUCUGUAGCGGGUCUGAGAGGAUGAUCCGCCACACUGGGACUGAGACACGGCCCAGACUCCUACGGGAGGCAGCAGUGGGGAAUAUUGGACAAUGGGGGGAACCCUGAUCCAGCCAUGCCGCGUGUGUGAAGAAGGCCUUAUGGUUGUAAAGCACUUUAAGCGAGGAGGAGGCUACUUUAGUUAAUACCUAGAGAUAGUGGACGUUACUCGCAGAAUAAGCACCGGCUAACUCUGUGCCAGCAGCCGCGGUAAUACAGAGGGUGCGAGCGUUAAUCGGAUUUACUGGGCGUAAAGCGUGCGUAGGCGGCUUAUUAAGUCGGAUGUGAAAUCCCCGAGCUUAACUUGGGAAUUGCAUUCGAUACUGGUGAGCUAGAGUAUGGGAGAGGAUGGUAGAAUUCCAGGUGUAGCGGUGAAAUGCGUAGAGAUCUGGAGGAAUACCGAUGGCGAARGCAGCCAUCUGGCCUAAUACUGACGCUGAGGUACGAAAGCAUGGGGAGCAAACAGGAUUAGAUACCCUGGUAGUCCAUGCCGUAAACGAUGUCUACUAGCCGUUGGGGCCUUUGAGGCUUUAGUGGCGCAGCUAACGCGAUAAGUAGACCGU
rnacentral:rRNA from 1 species